AUUGAACGCUGGCGGCAUGCCUUACACAUGCAAGUCGAACGGCAGCACGGGAGCAAUCCUGGUGGCGAGUGGCGAACGGGUGAGUAAUAUAUCGGAACGUGCCCAGUCGUGGGGGAUAACGCAGCGAAAGCUGUGCUAAUACCGCAUACGAUCUAUGGAUGAAAGCGGGGGAUCGCAAGACCUCGCCCGUUUGGAGCGCCCGAUAGCAGAUGAGCUAGUUGGUGGGGUAAAGGCCCACCAAGACGACGAUCUGUAGCUGGGCUGAGAGGACGACCAGCCACACUGGAACUGAGACACGGUCCAGACUCCUACGGGAGGCAGCAGUGGGGAAUUUUGGACAAUGGGCGCAAGCCUGAUCCAGCAAUGCCGCGUGCAGGAUGAAGGCCUUCGGGUUGUAAACUGCUUUUGUACGGAACGAAACGGCCCUUUCUAAUACAGGGGGCUAAUGACGGUACCGUAAGAAUAAGCACCGGCUAACUACGUGCCAGCCGCCGCCGUAACAC
rnacentral:rRNA from 1 species